GACGAACGCUGGCGGCGUGCUUAACACAUGCAAGUCGAACGGAAAGGCCCUGCUUUUGUGGGGUGCUCGAGUGGCGAACGGGUGAGUAACACGUGAGUAACCUGCCCUUGACUUUGGGAUAACUUCAGGAAACUGGGUCUAAUACCGGAUAGGAGCUCCUGCUGCAUGGUGGGGGUUGGAUAGUUUCGGCGGUUGGGGAUGGACUCGCGGCUUAUCAGCUUGUUGGUGGGGUAGUGGCUUACCAAGGCUUUGACGGGUAGCCGGCCUGAGAGGGUGACCGGCCACAUUGGGACUGAGAUACGGCCCAGACUCCUACGGGAGGCAGCAGUGGGGAAUAUUGCACAAUGGGCGGAAGCCUGAUGCAGCAACGCCGCGUGCGGGAUGACGGCCUUCGGGUUGUAAACCGCUUUCGCCUGUGACGAAGCGUGAGUGACGGUAAUGGGUAAAGAAGCACCGGCUAACUACGUG
rnacentral:rRNA from 1 species